AUGAACGCUAGCUACAGGCUUAACACAUGCAAGUCGAGGGGCAGCAUGGUCUUAGCUUGCUAAGACUGAUGGCGACCGGCGCACGGGUGAGUAACACGUAUCCAACCUGCCGUCUACUCUUGGACAGCCUUCUGAAAGGAAGAUUAAUACAAGAUGGCAUCAUGAGUCCGCAUGUUCACAUGAUUAAAGGUAUUCCGGUAGACGAUGGGGAUGCGUUCCAUUAGAUAGUAGGCGGGGUAACGGCCCACCUAGUCUUCGAUGGAUAGGGGUUCUGAGAGGAAGGUCCCCCACAUUGGAACUGAGACACGGUCCAAACUCCUACGGGAGGCAGCAGUGAGGAAUAUUGGUCAAUGGGCGAGAGCCUGAACCAGCCAAGUAGCGUGAAGGAUGACUGCCCUAUGGGUUGUAAACUUCUUUUAUAAAGGAAUAAAGUCGGGUAUGUAUACCCGUUUGCAUGUACUUUAUGAAUAAGGAUCGGCUAACUCCGUGCCAGCAGCCGCGGUAAUACGGAGGAUCCGAGCGUUAUCCGGAUUUAUUGGGUUUAAAGGGAGCGUAGAUGGAUGUUUAAGUCAGUUGUGAAAGUUUGCGGCUCAACCGUAAAAUUGCAGUUGAUACUGGAUAUCUUGAGUGCAGUUGAGGCAGGCGGAAUUCGUGGUGUAGCGGUGAAAUGCUUAGAUAUCACGAAGAACUCCGAUUGCGAAGGCAGCCUGCUAAGCUGCAACUGACAUUGAGGCUCGAAAGUGUGGGUAUCAAACAGGAUUAGAUACCCUGGUAGUCCACACGGUAAACGAUGAAUACUCGCUGUUUGCGAUAUACUGCAAGCGGCCAAGCGAAAGCGUUAAGUAUUCCACCUGGGGAGUACGCCGGCAACGGUGAAACUCAAAGGAAUUGACGGGGGCCCGCACAAGCAGUGGAGUAUGUGGUUUAAUUCGACGCAACGCGAAGAACCUUACCAAGUCUUGACAUCCUGCGACGAUGCUGGAAACAGUAUUUUCCUUCGGGACGCAGAGACAGGUGGUGCAUGGUUGUCGUCAGCUCGUGUCGUGAGAUGUUGGGUUAAGUCCCGCAACGAGCGCAACCCCUGUGAUUAGUUGCCAGCGAGUAAUGUCGGGAACUCUAAUCAAACUGCCGGUGAUAAAUCGGAGGAAGGUGGGGAUGACGUCAAAUCAUCAUGCCCCUUAUGAGCAGGGCUACACACGUGCUACAAUGGCGUAAACAAAGGGAAGCGAGACCGUGAGGUGGAGCCAAUCCCAAAAAUAACGUCUCAGUUCGGAUUGUAGUCUGCAACUCGACUACAUGAAGCUGGAAUCGCUAGUAAUCGCAGAUCAGAAUGCUGCGGUGAAUACGUUCCCGGGCCUUGUACACACCGCCCGUCACACCAUGAGAGUUGGGGAUACCCGAAGCCUGUGAGCCAACAGUUAAAUGAGGCAGCAGUCGAAGGUAGAAUCAAUGAUUGGGGUG
rnacentral:rRNA from 1 species